rnacentral:pre_miRNA from 1 species
UGCACGCUGAAGCGUGAACGAAGUGGCGUGUCCAGUUGCCUGCGCCGGUCCCGCAACUGUGAGUCGCUGGGAUCAGUGAGGCUGCAGAUUGGGGCAGCACAGGUCCAGAAAGCAUGACUGCGGCGAUGAGGGCGUAGGU